rnacentral:rRNA from 1 species
AUUGAACGUUGGCCGCAUGCUUUACACAUGCAAGUCGAACGGCAGCGCGGGCUUCGGCCUGGCGGCGAGUGGCGAACGGGUGAGUAAUACAUCGGAACGUGCCCAGUAGUGGGGGAUAGCUCGGCGACAGCCGGAUUAAUACCGCAUACGACCUGAGGGUGAAAGCUGGGGAUCUUCGGACCUCGCGCUAUUGGAGCGUCCGAUGACAGAUUAGCUAGUUGGUGGGGUAAAGGCCUACCAAGACGACGAUCUGUAGCUGGUCUGAGAGGACGAUCAGCCACACUGAGACUGAGAAACGGCACAGACUCCUACGGGAGGCAGCAGUGGGGAAUGUUGGUCAAUGGUCGAAAGCCUGAUCCAGCAAAGCCGCGUGUGUGAUGAAGGCCUUCGGGUUGUAAAGCACUUUUGGCGGGAACGAAAAGGACUGUGCCAAUACCACGGUUCGAUGACGGUACCCGCAGAAUAAGCACCGGCUAACUACGUG